CCUACGGGCGGCAGCAGUCGAGAAUCUUUCACAAUGGGGGAAACCCUGAUGGUGCGACGCCGCGUGGGGGAAUGAAGGUCUUCGUAUUUUAAACCCCUGUCAUGUGGGAGCAAAUUAAAAAGAUAGUACCACAAGAGGAAGAGACGGCUAACUCUGUGCCAGCAGCCGCGGUAAUACAGAGGUCUCAAGCGUUGUUCGGAAUCACUGGGCGUAAAGCGUGCGUAGGCUGUUUCGUAAGUCGUGUGUGAAAGGCGCGGGCUCAACCCGCGGACGGCACAUGAUACUGCGAGACUAGAGUAAUGGAGGGGGAACCGGAAUUCGCGGUGUAGCAGUGAAAUGCGUAGAUAUCGAGAGGAACACUCGUGGCGAAGGCGGGUUACUGGACAUUAACUGACGCUGAGGCACGAAGGCCAGGGGAGCGAAAGGGAUUAGAUACCCGGGUAGUC
rnacentral:rRNA from 1 species